rnacentral:rRNA from 1 species
ACGCUGGCGGCGUGCCUAAUACAUGCAAGUAGAACGCUGAAGGAGGAGCUUGCUUCUCUGGAUGAGUUGCGAACGGGUGAGUAACGCGUAGGUAACCUGCCUGGUAGCGGGGGAUAACUAUUGGAAACGAUAGCUAAUACCGCAUAAUAGUAGAUGUUGCAUGACAUUUGCUUAAAAGAUGCAAUUGCAUCACUACCAGAUGGACCUGCGUUGUAUUAGCUAGUUGGUGGGGUAACGGCUCACCAAGGCGACGAUACAUAGCCGACCUGAGAGGGUGAUCGGCCACACUGGGACUGAGACACGGCCCAGACUCCUACGGGAGGCAGCAGUAGGGAAUCUUCGGCAAUGGACGAAAGUCUGACCGAGCAACGCCGCGUGAGUGAAGAAGGUUUUCGGAUCGUAAAGCUCUGUUGUAAGAGAAGAACGAGUGUGAGAGUGGAAAGUUCACACUGUGACGGUAUCUUACCAGAAAGGGACGGCUAACUACGUGCCAGCAGCCGCGGUAAUACGUAGGUCCCGAGCGUUGUCCGGAUUUAUUGGGCGUAAAGCGAGCGCAGGCGGUUAGAUAAGUCUGAAGUUAAAGGCUGUGGCUUAACCAUAGUACGCUUUGGAAACUGUUUAACUUGAGUGCAAGAGGGGAGAGUGGAAUUCCAUGUGUAGCGGUGAAAUGCGUAGAUAUAUGGAGGAACACCGGUGGCGAAAGCGGCUCUCUGGCUUGUAACUGACGCUGAGGCUCAAAAGCGUGGGGGGCAAACAGGAUUAGAUACCCUGGUAGUCCACGCCGUAAACGAUGAGUGCUAGGUGUUAGACCCUUUCCGGGGUUUAGUGCCGCAGCUAACGCAUUAAGCACUCCGCCUGGGGAGUACGACCGCAAGGUUGAAACUCAAAGGAAUUGACGGGGGCCCGCACAAGCGGUGGAGCAUGUG